GCUCCUAUAGCUCAGAUGGAUAGAGCAGCGCCCUCCUAAGGCGAAGACCCCAGUUCGACUCCGGGUGGGAGCA
rnacentral:tRNA from 3 species